GCUUUGUGGCGUUGUGGUUUGCACAUUGGACUAUGACUCUGGAGACUAUGGUUCGAAUCCUUACUCAACCA